rnacentral:tRNA from 1 species
GCCGGCAUAGCUCAGUAGGCAAGAGCAGCUCAUUCGUAAUGAGCGGGUCGGGGGUUCAAAUCCCUCUGCCGGCU